GGAACGUGCCCAGUCGUGGGGGAUAACUGCUCGAAAGAGCAGCUAAUACCGCAUACGACCUGAGGGUGAAAGCGGGGGAUCGCAAGACCUCGCGCGAUUGGAGCGGCCGAUAUCAGAUUAGGUAGUUGGUGGGGUAAAGGCCCACCAAGCCAACGAUCUGUAGCUGGUCUGAGAGGACGACCAGCCACACUGGGACUGAGACACGGCCCAGACUCCUACGGGAGGCAGCAGUGGGGAAUUUUGGACAAUGGGCGCAAGCCUGAUCCAGCCAUGCCGCGUGCGGGAAGAAGGCCUUCGGGUUGUAAACCGCUUUUGUCAGGGAAGAAAAGGUUCUGGCUAAUACCCGGGACUCAUGACGGUACCUGAAGAAUAAGCACCGGCUAACUACGUGCCAGCAGCCGCGGUAAUACGUAGGGUGCAAGCGUUAAUCGGAAUUACUGGGCGUAAAGCGUGCGCAGGCGGUUAUGCAAGACAGAGGUGAAAUCCCCGGGCUCAACCUGGGAACUGCCUUUGUGACUGCAUA
rnacentral:rRNA from 1 species